UACGGAGGGGGCAAGCGUUGUUCGGAAUUACUGGGCGUAAAGGGCUCGUAGGUGGCCAACUAAGUCAGACGUGAAAUCCCUCGGCUUAACCUGGGAACUGCGUCUGAUACUGGAUGGCUUGAGUUUGGGAGAGGGACGCGGAAUUCCAGGUGUAGCGGUGAAAUGCGUAGAUAUCUGGAGGAACACCGGUGGCGAAGGCGGCGUCCUGGACCAACACUGACACUGAGGAGCGAAAGCCAGGGGAGCAAACGGG
rnacentral:rRNA from 1 species